UCCCCGUUCACAAUAUAAUUUCUAAUUGAAACGGACUAUUUACAUAAAUUAGUUUCGCUUUCCGUUGGACAGAAUUUGAAAUCAAACAAUUCAUUUUUACCCCUAAACAACCAAUCAAUUAAAGCCUAAUGGUAUAUAACUGAGCAUUUUUAUAAUUAGAACAUCUAAAGAACAUAACUUCGCAUCAUUCUCUCAAACGUCUAUGCAUUACGGUUUUCAAAAGUUGUACUGUCGUUUCGUUCUUUUCUUUAUAAAGUUCAUCUGUUUCCCUAUGUUUAAU
rnacentral:lncRNA from 1 species